CAGCGUUAUCCGGAUUUAUUGGGCGUACAGGGUGCGUAGGCGGUUGUGUAAGUUUGAGGUUAAAGCCCGGAGCUCAACUCCGGUUCGCCUUGAAAACUACAUAACUAGAAUGCAAGAGAGGUAAAUGGAAUUCCAUGUGUAGCGGUAAAAUGCGUAGAUAUAUGGAAGAACACCUGUGGCGAAAGCGGUUUACCAGCUUGUUAUUGACGCUGAGGCACGAAAGCGUGGGGAGCAAAUAGGAUUAGAUACCCUAGUAGUCCACGCCGUAAACGUUGAGUACUAGGUGUCGGGAAUUAUCUCGGCGCCGCAGCUAACGCAUUAAGUACUCCGCCUGAGUAGUAUGCACGCAAGUGUGAAACUCAAAGGAAUUGACGGGGACCCGCACAAGUGGUGGAGCAUGUGGUUUAAUUCGAAGCAACACGAAGAACCUUACCAGGGCUUGACAUCCAGUGCAAAGGCAUAGAGAUAUGCUGGAGGCUAACAUUGAGACAGGUGGUGCAUGGUUGUCGUCAGUUCGUGCCGUGAGGUGUUUGGUUAAGUCCAGCAACGAACGCAACCCUUGUCAUUAGUUACUAACAUUAAGUUGAGGACUCUAAUGAGACUGCUAGUGUAAGCUAGAGGAAGGUGGGGAUGACGUCAAAUCAUCAUGCCCCUUAUGUCCUGGGCCACACACGUGCUACAAUGGCUGAUACAAAGAGUCGCAAUCUCGUAAGGAGGAGCUAAUCUCAUAAAGUCAGUCUCAGUUCGGAUUGAGGGCUGCAACUCGCCCUCAUGAAGCCGGAAUCACUAGUAAUCGCGGAUCAGAUAUGCCGCGGUGAAUACGUUCUCGGGUCUUGUACACACCGCCCGUCACACCACGAGAGUUGGUAACACCAGAAGUAGGUAGCCUAACCGUAAGGG
rnacentral:rRNA from 1 species